AUUGAACGCUGGCGGCAGGCCUAACACAUGCAAGUCGCACGAGUGGCGGACGGGUGAGUAAUGUCUGGGAAACUGACUGAUGGAGGGGGAUAACUACUGGAAACGGUAGCUAAUACCGCAUACCAUCGGAUGUUCCCAGAUGGGAUUGGCUAGUAGGUGGGGUAACAGCUCACCUGGGCGACGAUCCCUAGAUGGUCUGAGAGGAUGACCAGCCACACUGGAACUGGGACACGGUCCAGACUCCUGCGGGAGUCAGCAGUGGGGAAUAUUGCACGAUGGGCGCAAGGCUGAUGCAGGCAUGCCGCGUGUAUGAAGAAGGCCUUCGGGUUGUAAAGUACUUUCAGCGGGGAGGCGUUACCCGCAGAAGAAGCACCGGCUAACUCCGUGCCAGCAGCCGCGGUAAUAC
rnacentral:rRNA from 1 species